CCCAAUCCCAUCACCACCACCAUCUUCUCCCCGGUGCCCAGCCCCCGUCUUCCCUCCUCUACUUCCUCUUAUCGUGUGCAGCUCGCGAGUCUCAGCGAGUAAGGCCGCCGGAUACGCGGCCAGCCUUUGUGAACGCGGCCUCUGACGUUGUCUUCGCCAUGAUCGGCAACCUAGGCGACGUCCGCGCUAUCGUCGGCAGCGUUCUGGCGGCGGACCGCCCACAAGGUGCACGGAGUGAGGUGCGUGCAGAUCAUGGUGGCGGCCAUGAACACCGAUGGCGGACGGGCACGUAAUAUCCGGACGAUUGCUGCUAGCGGACCCCACCGACGCCAACGAUCUCCGGAAGCGAGCAACCGUCAUCGCUCUCCAUCUCCCCUCCACGUGGAGCCAUCAACGACAGCCUGUGAGGAGUGCGCGCGAAGGCCACACGCGGCAGGACUCCGUGCAGCGAUGUUGCGGUGGCUCCUAUACUCGCUACGGCCGUCCUCGUGGCCACCGCCGCAAAUCCAUACGUCGUGCUGUACACACCCAUGACCACCCCCGUCGGGGGUCGGCCGCGAGUUCUUCCGCUUUUGGCCAGGGCGGGGGAGACUACGGUGGAGGCAUGAGCAACGGUAGUAGGGGUAGAGGCUGCGGUGCCGGUGGAAGAGGAGGUGGCAACGGGAGUGAGGGUGUGGACUUGCUCUCCGUUUCCUGUUUCCAUGGCGGGCCGUACUCUGCGUGGUGCUCGGUACCCUGGCCGGCCGCUGCCAUUUUGUUCUUCAGUUUGUGGACACUCACCGUCUCCUGGCGCUGGCCGUCAUAUACGGGUGCUCUGUGAUUGGUUCGUCAUCUGCUGAUUCCGCUUCUUCUGGUCUUGUGGUCUCUUGCCUGAUUUGGGUCCUGGGUAUAACCAAGUUUGCAUGGAUGCAACAUGAGGGACAAAGUUGAAACUGUGUACUUUAUGAUAGACUUGGUACUCCAUCUUAAGUAAGCCUACAUAACACACUCGAUAACUUGUCUAGCGAUCCAGCUUUUCCGCUUACAGUCACUGUAAGCUGAUAGAUGUAUGACACGAUGUCCAGCGCGCGAUUUUGGCCGUCUGUCGCCGCCGGUACACAUCUCUCACCCAUCCUCUAUCUCCGUCCUCCCUGUUCUACAUCCCCUUCUGACAAAUGCUUCGCCAAAGCGGCUUUCCCGCCGUCUCCUUUCAGGAAAACGGUUGCACACCGUGGCGCGGCUGCCCGCAUUGGCGACGGUCUGUUAGGAUUCACCUGUGCGCCUCCUCUAUGGGUGUAUUAGCAUGCCCUAAUGCCAGUCCGCUGGAGGAUCACCUGAGCAUGAAAAAUAUCAUGUCAACGUCGAAAGUAGUUUGGUAUCAUGUAUCUUCAGCUUCUACUAUUAGGCUUGGUAUCCACCUUCAAAGAAGUGUUUGUGUUGUUUAUCGUAUGGAAGGAAAACCUCCCAAACUUAUCGUUUUAUUUCCCUUUUCAGUGUCAAUGUAUGUUUACCUUUCCUAAAUGGCAGGAAUAGAUUUCCUUUCGUAACUGCA